rnacentral:tRNA from 1 species
UCUCUGCUGGUAUAUCGGUAGAACACAACCCUGUCAUUUGAUGGUCGGUUGAGAGCUGGGUUCGACUCCCAGGCAGAGAG